GCUGAACUUGAUGGACGCAAGUCUCUUUUCAGCUAUGUAACUAUGUAACUAACUAUGUAACUAUGUAACAAAGCCAUUAAUGUCAAAACCAUUGGCAACAAAAGUGAGUACACUCCUAUGUGGUAAUGUCCAAAUUGGGUCAAAAGUGUCAAUAUUUUGUGUGGCCACCAUUAUUUACUGGCACUGCCUUAACCCUCAUGGGCACAGGUUGCCACUGGAGUCCAAAUCCACUCCUCCA